rnacentral:RNase_P_RNA from 1 species
CGAGUAUACUGGACGGUCGCAUGCGGGUGCAUGAGGAAAGUCCGAGCGCCACAGAGCGGGACGCAGGGUAACACCCUGUGGAGGCGACUCCAAGGAAAGUGCAACAGAAAUAGACCGCCGGUUGCGUGCAAUCGGUAAGGAUGGAAAGGCGAGGUAAAAGCUCACCCGGGGCUUGGCGACAAGCCCUCGCUGUAAACCCCGUCCGGCGCAAGAUUGAUGGGGGCAUAUGCGGCUGCUCGCCGCGCCCCGAGAAUCGCUGGAGCCUGUCGGCAACGUCAGGCCUAGAUAGAUGACCGUCCAACGGCGCAUAAUCGCGUCCGGGACAGAACUCGGCUUACAGGCAUACUCGAUCA